rnacentral:rRNA from 1 species
UGGCGGACGGGUGAGUAAUGUCUGGGAAACUGCCCGAUGGAGGGGGGUAACUACUGGAAACGGUAGCUAAUACCGCAUAACGUCGCAAGACCAAAGAGGGGGACCUUCGGGCCUCGCGCCAUCAGAUGAACCCAUAUGGGAUUAGCUUGUAGGUAAGGUAACGGCUUACCUAGGCGACGAUCCCUAGCUGGUCUGAGAGGAUGACCAGCCACACUGGAACUGAGACACGGUCCAG